GGGUCAACAUUAAAUUAAAGCUUCUAACUUUAUAAAAAGCAGUAUGCCUGUUUUUGACUCA
rnacentral:tRNA from 1 species